rnacentral:lncRNA from 13 species
CGGGAAACAAAGAGAAGGCAUUUCUAUUGGCUGUUGAGGAGCUGGAAAUACAUGGAGUUAAAGUAGGAAGUACAUGAAACUAGCUGCCAUUGGUAGGCGGGCAGGACCUUGGGUACGCGGGUCUGCUGGGGGCAUAUGGGGCAGGCUGUUGCUGGGCAGGGAACGGUGGGGCUUCUUUAAAAAAAAAUUUCUCUGUAGGGGUUUUUAACAGCGGGCUGGAGGUUGGAUGCAUAAUUUAGUGCUGAAUGUGGGCUUGGGCAUGGUAUGAAGAGGCGGGUAGGGGAAGCUUUGUGGGGAAGCCAGAUAAUGAGCUCGGGUGAUGACACAGUUAUCAGGCGCAGAGAGUAAUGAAUGUGUCUGUUUGAUGCCCGGCAAGGCAACCGGCCUUACAAUCCCAAAGUUUUGGAUGGCAGAGGUGUACAGAUUGUUUGAGGCCAGGAUGGGCAACAUAGUCAGACCCUAUCUCUACAAUAAAUAAAUAAAAUUAGCAGGGUAUGAUGGCAUAUGCCUGUAAGUCCCAUGUACUCCAGCUACUCGGAUGCCAAGGCAGGAAGUAGUUUGAUCAUGCCACUGCACUCCAGCCUGGGCAAUAGAGCAAGAUCCUGCUUCUAAAAUAAUAAAGAAAGGAAAAACAAACAAAAGAAAAGCCUUGCAAGGUGUGUGGAGGCUGGAUUCAGUGGAAAGGAUUUAGGCAGGGAGAGCCUUGCAUAAUACCCACGAAAGAUCGUAAAGUGCCCAAACUGAGAGAGUGGUGUAGGGAAGAAAUAGUAGGAGGUGAGGGACAGAGAAAAUGAGGAGGAAGAAUACCUAGCUUGCAGCAGCAGCCCUUUUAGAAUGAGAGAUGGGCGAUAAGGAUUGCACUCCAGAUCACAGCUGCACUGACCACGUGAAGAGUUGUGCUGCUGUCUGAGAUAAGCAGUGCAGGGGGAAAAACAGGUUUGAGAUGAGGGAAAAGGAUGAUGAGUUAAAUUGGGAGUCCACUGAGACGUCUGCAAAAAGUCUAAGUGGAGAUUCUGGCCCAGGCCGUGGAAACAUGAGACAGGAGUUCCUGGGAGCAGAUGCCCAGCCAAGGCAAGCGUUUGGAAGAGAAAAAGGGCUCUACAAUCAUAUGGACCAGAAGGCAAUCUGCUUUACGAUCAGACGUGCCUCUGAAGAACAGAGGAUGAAGAGAAAGCAGCGGAGGAGGGCCACCCCGUGGUCUGAGGCAGCUUAA